GGGCCCGAGCGGGGCCGGCCGAGCCCCCCGGGCCCGCCUGGAUCCCGCGCAGAGGCGGCGGCCGCGGGGCCGAGGUCCCGCUCCAAUCCCCCGGAGGCAGCGAAAGGCCGGGAAAGGGCCCGGGGGGAGCGGGGCAGGAGUGAGGGGUCCCCCCCAGACUCCUCGGAGCCGCCUUCCCCCCGCAUUCUCCGCCUCUUCCCCGCCGGAGCUGGGAUGUCCCAUCCCAGGGGAUGACGGCGCAGUCUUUGAGAAUCCGGCACAAACAGACGCGGAUCUAUUUCGGGAUUAAAAAAAAAAAAAACAAACAGCAGCAUGAGGAGAAAUAAAUGUCUGGCGGUCGGGUUUGAAGUGCUGCGUGUUCCUUGCAGGGCUGCAGCCCCUGCGUGCGCCGCUGCAGCUCCGGGACCACCUUCCAGGACCCCCACAGUCAUUAGUGGGUAUUAUCCUCGCUCCCUCUUUGGAAGUGGUGGGAUAAUCAUUCCCCAUUUAACGGCCGGGAACUUGGCACAGCGCACAUUAAGUGAUUUGCUGACAGGCACACGAGAAAAUUGCGCUAGUCAAGCGUUCUCCCAAUUAUGCCAUCCUUGGAACUGCAUAAUUUCCCUGCGUGAUUCCAAACACGGCUCAGACUCCUGGGCAGGGCUUCGUCUCUGCAGCUCAAAUCAGCGACAGGACCGGUCCGUGUCCCCCCCGGACGUGCAGGAGCCCUUGGGGCACCCGUGUCUUACACAGGACAAAAGGGACAGAACUUUUCAGACCUUUGUUUUUCUGCAGUCAGAGCAGUGGAACCAGAAAUGGAACACAUCUUCCCCAACAUCAGAAGUUGCCAUUAGGAAAUCAACAGAAAAACUAUUCAAAAAAAUGUGGGGUUUUCCUUCUCCAGGAGAAAAACACAAAGAAUUUUCAAUAGAAGGACCUAAACUCAAGGAAUUUCUGCAUCUGGCUCCACACUGACCCGCAAACCGCACCCCUCGCUCACCUAUCUUGACUUUUUUAAGUCAAAAAGGGAAAUUUCCAGCCUCCCAGCACUUGGGAUGCUCUUUGCACGCUGUGAAGGCGUUUCCCCCUGCCCCUGUGGCUCCUUCAGGAAUGAGGAGGGGUCAGGGAUGGCUCUGCCACCCCAAGGUCCUGCUCCCACUCUGGGGGCUCAGUCCUGGCUCCCCCUGGGUUUUGAACACAUUAAAAUACUUUCAGACCCCAAUUCCUCAGCGUUUGCCUCUGACAGUCGAUCUCAAGGGAUGGAUAAUCUCAUUUACGUCUGUUACUACAAAUCAAAACAGCAGCAAAUUAAAUGGAUCUGAAGGCCGAGAUUAAAGGCUGCAAACACAUGGGAAGUGCCUGUGAUGCAAAGAGCUGUAAAUAUAAUUUGUUCUUUUAAAAGGGAGGGAUGGAAAAGCCCUACGCAGAUGCUGUUCUUUUACCUGGAAAGCAAAGACAGGAUCAUUGAGGAAUUAAGGUGGAAAAGACCUCUAAGAUCAAGUCCAGCCUCUAAGAUCAAGUGCAACCACUAAUCCAGCACUGCCAGGCCCACCACCUUGGCUGGAAAACGAGGAAAAAAAAUCAAAAUGAGCUUGAUCAUCCCUCUUUUCCAGCUGUGGGAAAUGCCUUUGUGGCCAGCUGAGGUUUAGGCUGGCUCAAAGCUGGGGCUCAGAGGGACUGAGCCCAGCACUGCUGGUUCCCUGGCUGGGAUUUCAGGAGUUCUGGGGCUUCUCCAGCUUCUUUUCCUGAGGUGGGACACAGGAUGUCACCAGAGCCCUCCUGUGCCCCUGAAUCCCCUGGGUCAGACCAGAAAUCCUGCGGGGAUGGAGCAGCGGAACUGGGAGAGCUCCCACAUUAAAAAAGGAACGCAGGAUCUGACACUGAGCAAGCAGAUGGGAAAGAAAUUGGUGUGAAACCCACAUUAUAAAUGCCACCAUGGAUGUUCCCCGUUCCUGGAAUCUGAGCCCCAAGUCCUACUGUUGCCCUGAUUUUUUAAGAUUUUCUAAGCCUUCUGAUGUUUGCAUUCUUGUAACAAACUUUCUCACACACUUUCUGUAAAUAACUUCUUGUUUUGCAUUCUCUUAUGGAGGAGGAGAAAUUUGAUGAUUUGUCCAGUGUCAUUGGAGCGGUGGCACUGUCACCCUCCAAUCCAGGGUCACUUUUGGAAAUCUAUGAAUGUUGGAGUCAGAAAUUAAAUCUAAGUCUAUAAAUGUUA